CGGGAUAACAUAUUUGAGAGGCAUCUCUUGAAUAUCAAAGGUGAGCCAGUACAGGAUGGACCCGCGUCUGAUUAGCUAGUUGGUAAGGUAACGGCUUACCAAGGCAACGAUCAGUAGCCGACCUGAGCGGGUGAUCGGCCACAUUGGAACUGAGACACGGUCCAAACUCCUACGGGAGGCAGCAGUGGGGAAUAUUGCACAAUGGGCGAAAGCCUGAUGCAGCAACGCCGCGU
rnacentral:rRNA from 1 species